GCUCCAUUAGCUCAGCUGGAUAGAGCGGUUGCCUCCUAAGCAACAGGUCGUGCGUUCGAAUCGCUCAUGGGGCG
rnacentral:tRNA from 1 species